AAAAUAUUAAAGACAAGAGCAAACUUCAAGCCUCAUCUCGUGUGUAUCGUCACACUCAGAAAAAGAACGGGGUGGGAGAAGAUGACCCUGCUGCAGACAUGGAAGUGCCUGAGCUGGAGAAAUGCAGAGAACAUCUGAAUUCCAUCCUUGCUCACUGGGACCCUGUUUUCCCAGCAGCACCCUCCACAGAGGGAGGGGAGGCCCUCAGAGCCGGAGAAGCUGUUUCUGUAUUCCUGAUUUCCAUUUACAUUGGAGACAUGUGGCUUGGAGCACAGGAGCUGGAUAUGUUACUUACCCAUGUCAGAUUGAUCUGCACUAGUGCAGAUUAUGAGUUACAGGAUGACUCAGACACUUGGAAACAAGGGGAGGAAACUGUUAUAUCUCUUCACAAAAAAAUUUGGCUCCAUCAGGGCAUUAAUUCAGAGGACUAACACUUCACCUUUACCGUUCUGCUCUGCUCCGUCCUCAUUGCUGUGAGCCGCGAGAGCCUCCUGAGCUGUUCUCAUAUAGACCUACCUUGUUUGGUCAAAAAAAAUCAGUAUUUUAUUACUGGGUGCAAACUCAGGAGGAAGACUUGAUUCAACAUCUCUCAGUGGCACACUAAAGCUCCAGUUUCCUGUUUCUUGAACAGCGUGAGGGACAAUAUGUAAUGUAAUUACAAUUAUGUUAUUUUUAUUACAGGCAUUUUUAUCUUUUUGACGAACCAGAAGGACUGUUUGUGCACGUGUGUGCCCUUCAUAUCCAUCCUCUCUCUAAUACAGGAUGGGGAAAAAAAAGCUGCAGAGCUUCCUACACUGGGGUGUAAUUGCAAAGAACCAGGAGACAGAUGUUUAGUCACCAUGAUUUACUGUUUCUUGGAGAGUCUGGUUGGCUUCAUGGUACUGAAACCAGUAUUAAUAGAAGACUGGACUCGGGAAUCAGGACUGUCUUCUUGGGUUUAACAAGCUUGAAUGGCACUUCAAGACAUUUAUGUCAGACCUGGUUUAUUUUUAUUACCUUUGGGUUUUGUUUAUUUGUUUUUUGUUUUUUUUUAAUAAAUAAUAAUAAAAAGCACUGGUCCA
rnacentral:lncRNA from 1 species